GUUUACUGUGUCACUCGUACCGAUAACCGCAUCAGGUCUUCUAGGUAAGUAGCCUAUGGCCAUUGAGGCAUGAUAGUUCAGGGAAUUCGGCCAAUUAGAGCUGUAACUUCGGGAUAAAGCUUGGCUCUGAUGAAAAUCAGAACCGAUUGUUACGCGGAGAGCCCAACUGUUUAAUAAAAACGUAGUGUCGCGCUGUGGUAGUAUAGCCAGUGAACGCGACAUGAAUCCUGCUCAGUGCUGUGUCUGUUAAUAUGGUUCAAGCCAACGAAGCACCGGUAAAUAGCUGGGGUAACUAUGACUCUUAUCAAAGUAGCGAAAUACCUCGUCACUUAAUUAGUGACCUGCAUGAACGGAGCUAUGAGGUUCUCACUGUCCCAAACUGUCUCUCAGCGAACCAACUGUAGUGGGAACGGUCACUAGAUAUCCAGCGGGGAAAGAAGACCCUGUAGAGCUUCACUUUGGUCUAGUCUUGUAUAGUUCCUGCGGGGGUGUAGACUAGGUGGGAGAGCAAUCGAUUCUGAAAAACCACUACCCUGUUUGGAAUUAUGCUUACCUAUCACAAGGAAUAGGACUAGAUAGAAAGUUUGGCUGGGGCGGCACACCUUCGAAAGAGCAGCGAAGGUGUCCUAAGUUGAGCUCAGUGAGGACAGAAAUCUCACGUUGAGGAUAAGGCCAAAAGCUCAAUUUACUGUGCCUUUUUGUACUAGGAUCAGUUACGAAAGUAAGGCCUAACGAUCCCUAAAUAGCCUCAGGUGCGUGAGGAUUGGGGUGACAGACAAGUUACCUCCGGGACAACUGGCUUGUGGCUGCUAAGAGAUCAAAUCAACGCAGCUUUUUGAUUCUUCGAUGUCGGCUCUUCCUAUCCUAGUGAUGUACAAGUUGCUAAGGGUCGGAUUGUUCACCCGUAUUAGGGAUCGUGAGCUGGGUUUAGACCGUCGUGAGCCAGGUUUGUUUUAUCCUACUGGAUAUAGCAUCAUGAUAGUAGAUUGAUUUAGUACGAGAGGAACUGUUGAUUAUGGCCUCUGGUUAGCGAUUAUCGGAAACGGUAUGUCGCGCAGCUACGCCGUCUGGGAUAAUGGCUGAAAGCCUCUUAAGCCAGAAGCCCAUCUAGAAAGUGAUGCACGUGAUGUUGGACCGAUACGAAUAAUCAUACUCAAAAGGUCCGCUUCAUAGGUAACCCAAUGUAGAAGACAUUGUGUGAACGAAGGUACUGUAAGCAGUGGAGUGGCAUUACGUCCACGACCUGUUGAGGUUCAGCUUCGCUUCUAGGUUUCCAAAUAUUUU
rnacentral:rRNA from 1 species